UGGAAAGCUGGCACCUUUUGUAUAUUAACACUAAAAACUUCUUUUUUUUUUUAAAUUUUAAAAGGGGCCUCCAGCAACACCAUUGCCACCGUGAACCGCCGCCACGUAGUGGCUGAGAAACCUAGUGCAACCGUAAAUUAAAUCAUGGCCAAGCCAAGUUUUGUCCCAGUUGUGUUUGCCUUUCUGUUUCUUUCAUCACAGACCUUUUGCAGUGCUCAUGAUGAUAAUGAAGUUGAUGAUGAGUCAAAAUUCACUUACCUGUUGGGAACCAACGAAGGACCAGAGAAUUGGGGUAACCUUAAACCAGAAUGGACACUAUGUACUACGGGCAAAUUUCAGUCUCCAGUUAAUAUCCGUAACAAAACUGUGACGGUUACCACUGCUCUCCAGCAUUUGAAACCAAACUACAAAGUCGCACCUGCUAUUAUUAUUAACAGAGGUCAUGAUAUUAAGUUGCAAUGGGAAGGAGAUGCAGGAUAUAUCAAUAUUGAUGGUACUGAGUAUAAAUUACAACAAUGUCACUGGCAUACUCCUUCUGAGCACAAACUUAAUAAUAAAUGCUUUGCAAUGGAGGCGCACAUGGUUCAUCAGAGUGCUGAUGGGAAAAUAGCUGUGGUUGCAAUACCUUUCAAAAUUGGAAGCCCUAACCCUUUCUUUGAGGAGUUAAUGCAUCACAUCGAGACAGUUGAUGAUAAGGGUCUGAAAUUGGGAUGGGUUGAUCCUCAACAACUUGGGGUCGGCGAUGAACCUUUCUAUCGAUACAUUGGUUCACUCACUGUUCCUCCUUGCACUGAGGGUAUCACUUGGAAUGUACUCCCCAAGGCAAGGACUGUUUCUAUGGAACAAUUGAUGGCAUAUAGAAGUGCUGUUCAUGAUGAACAAAUGGGGGAUUAAGUUUAAGUAUUUCUGCAGCAUAGGCAUCCAAUUCUUUAUGUAUAUGUGGUUUCUUCCGUAGAGACUAGAGGCAAUGGAGCAGCAUUUGAUUCUUCUCCCAAGGUCCAAAUGGCUAUUUGCCCGUCUUAAAGCCCAGGCUCGUGCCACGUGUCAAGUGAUGUAGCAAUCCAAGUCAAAAGAACGAGCCAACAAAAUCAUGACAUGUAUCAAGUGAUGUGGCAAUCCAAGACAAGUAAAUGAGCCUAUGAAAUCAUGACAUGUGUCGAGUAAUGUAGCAAUCCAAGCCAAAUAAAUGAGCCAAUUAAAUCAUGCCAAAUGUCUGGAUAGUAUUGGUCAGUUCAAAUGGACCAAUCAAAUCGCAGAGCCAUACCACUCCCUACAACUAUAAAUAGAGGUUUUUAUAAAGCUAGAAGACACCAGAAGUGCUAACAAGAAGCAAACAGAGAGCUCGUGGAUCAAACACCGCAGAUUUCUCUACAAGCUACAAGUUCAAGCACUCAAACACUCAAGCUAUAAGUUCAAGUUCAAGUUCAAGUUCAAGAUCAAGAACGAAGCCAAAUCAAAUACCAAGACGUUCAAGAUCAAAUUACUUGUUCGUGAUCAAACCCAAAUUGAAGUUCAAGGAGGAGAUUCAAGAUCAAACUUUACAAGCCCUUGAAUCAAAUCAAAGUCAAGUUUAUUAAGAUACUUUACAAUCUUGAAGAAUCAAAGGAAUACCAUAGAGAUUGUAACACUUUUAUUUAUUGAAAUCAAAUACUACAUUUGUUACGCAA